AACGUAGGAGACGAGCGUUAUCCGGAUUUACUGGGCGUAAAGCGCGUGCAGGCGGUGGUACAAGUUGGGCGUGAAAUCUCCCGGCUCAACUGGGAGGGGUCGUCCAAAACUGUAUCACUUGAGGGCAGGAGAGGGAAGCGGAAUUCCCGGUGUAGCGGUAGUAUGCGCAGAUAUCGGGAGGAACCCCAGUGGCGAAGGCGGCUUCCUGGUCUGUUCCUGACGCUCAGACGCGACAGCUGGGGGAGCGAAC
rnacentral:rRNA from 1 species